GAUGAACGCUGGCGGCGUGCCUAAUACAUGCAAGUCGAGCGAACAGACGAGGAGCUUGCUCCUCUGACGUUAGCGGCGGACGGGUGAGUAACACGUGGAUAACCUACCUAUAAGACUGGGAUAACUUCGGGAAACCGGAGCUAAUACCGGAUAAUAUAUUGAACCGCAUGGUUCAAUAGUGAAAGACGGUUUUGCUGUCACUUAUAGAUGGAUCCGCGCCGCAUUAGCUAGUUGGUAAGGUAACGGCUUACCAAGGCAACGAUGCGUAGCCGACCUGAGAGGGUGAUCGGCCACACUGGAACUGAGACACGGUCCAGACUCCUACGGGAGGCAGCAGUAGGGAAUCUUCCGCAAUGGGCAAAAGCCUGACGGAGCAACGCCGCGUGAGUGAUGAAGGUCUUCGGAUCGUAAAACUCUGUUAUUAGGGAAGAACAAAUGUGUAAGUAACUAUGCACGUCUUGACGGUACCUAAUCAGAAAGCCACGGCUAACUACGUG
rnacentral:rRNA from 1 species